AUGCUCAUUUCAGCAGCACAUAUGCUAAAAUUGGAAUGAUACAGAGAAGAAUAGCAUGGCCCCUGUGGAAGGUUGACAUGCUGGUAACCCCACCUUCCACCUCUGCUA